GGGUUGUGAGGUUAAGCGACUAAGCGUACACGGUGGAUGCCCUGGCAGUCAGAGGCGAUGAAGGGCGUGCUAAUCUGCGAUAAGCGCCGGUAAGGUGAUAUGAACCGUUAUAACCGGCGAUACCCGAAUGGGGAAACCCAGUGUGAUUCGUCACACUAUCAUUAACUGAAUCCAUAGGUUAAUGAGGCGAACCGGGGGAACUGAAACAUCUAAGUACCCCGAGGAAAAGAAAUCAACCGAGAUUCCCCAGUAGCGGCGAGCGAACGGGGAGGAGCCCAGAGCCUGAAUCAGCAUGUGUGUUAGUGGAAGCGUCUGGAAAGGUGCGCGAUACAGGGUGACAGCCCCGUACACAAAAGCGCAUGUGCUGUGAGCUCGAUGAGUAGGGCGGGACACGUGGUAUCCUGUCUGAAUAUGGGGGGACCAUCCUCCAAGGCUAAAUACUCCUGACUGACCGAUAGUGAACCAGUACCGUGAGGGAAAGGCGAAAAGAACCCCGGCGAGGGGAGUGAAAAAGAACCUGAAACCGUGUACGUACAAGCAGUGGGAGCACAGGUUUACCUGUGUGACUGCGUACCUUUUGUAUAAUGGGUCAGCGACUUAUAUUCUGUAGCAAGGUUAACCGUAUAGGGGAGCCGUAGGGAAACCGAGUCUUAACCGGGCGUUAAGUUGCAGGGUAUAGACCCGAAACCCGGUGAUCUAGCCAUGGGCAGGUUGAAGGUUGGGUAACACUAACUGGAGGACCGAACCGACUAAUGUUGAAAAAUUAGCGGAUGACCUGUGGCUGGGGGUGAAAGGCCAAUCAAACCGGGAGAUAGCUGGUUCUCCCCGAAAGCUAUUUAGGUAGCGCCUCGUGAAUUCAUCUCCGGGGGUAGAGCACUGUUUCGGCUAGGGGGCCAUCCCGGCUUACCAACCCGAUGCAAACUGCGAAUACCGGAGAAUGUUAUCACGGGAGACACACGGCGGGUGCUAACGUCCGUCGUGAAGAGGGAAACAACCCAGACCGCCAGCUAAGGUCCCAAAGUCAUGGUUAAGUGGGAAACGAUGUGGGAAGGCCCAGACAGCCAGGAUGUUGGCUUAGAAGCAGCCAUCAUUUAAAGAAAGCGUAAUAGCUCACUGGUCGAGUCGGCCUGCGCGGAAGAUGUAACGGGGCUAAACCAUGCACCGAAGCUGCGGCAGCGAACGUAUCACCCAAGACAACUUUACGGAGUUGACGAUUGACGGAGCGAAGCGACGUCAAAGCGUUCAUUAAAGUCGAGUUGGCUUAGGGAUACGUUCGUUGGGUAGGGGAGCGUUCUGUAAGCCUGUGAAGGUGUGUCGUGAGGCAUGCUGGAGGUAUCAGAAGUGCGAAUGCUGACAUAAGUAACGAUAAAGCGGGUGAAAAGCCCGCUCGCCGGAAGACCAAGGGUUCCUGUCCAACGUUAAUCGGGGCAGGGUGAGUCGACCCCUAAGGCGAGGCCGAAAGGCGUAGUCGAUGGGAAACGGGUUAAUAUUCCCGUACUUGGUGUUACUGCGAAGGGGGGACGGAGAAGGCUAUGUUGGCCGGGCGACGGUUGUCCCGGUUUAAGCGUGUAGGUGUGUGUUCCAGGUAAAUCCGGUUCACUUUAACACUGAGGCGUGACGACGAGGCACUACGGUGCUGAAGCAACAAAUGCCCUGCUUCCAGGAAAAGCCUCUAAGCAUCAGGUAACACGAAAUCGUACCCCAAACCGACACAGGUGGUCAGGUAGAGAAUACCAAGGCGCUUGAGAGAACUCGGGUGAAGGAACUAGGCAAAAUGGUGCCGUAACUUCGGGAGAAGGCACGCUGACACGUAGGUGAAGUGAUUUACUCAUGGAGCUGAAGUCAGUCGAAGAUACCAGCUGGCUGCAACUGUUUAUUAAAAACACAGCACUGUGCAAACACGAAAGUGGACGUAUACGGUGUGACGCCUGCCCGGUGCCGGAAGGUUAAUUGAUGGGGUCAGCGUAAGCGAAGCUCCUGAUCGAAGCCCCGGUAAACGGCGGCCGUAACUAUAACGGUCCUAAGGUAGCGAAAUUCCUUGUCGGGUAAGUUCCGACCUGCACGAAUGGCGUAAUGAUGGCCAGGCUGUCUCCACCCGAGACUCAGUGAAAUUGAACUCGCUGUGAAGAUGCAGUGUACCCGCGGCAAGACGGAAAGACCCCGUGAACCUUUACUAUAGCUUGACACUGAACAUUGAGCCUUGAUGUGUAGGAUAGGUGGGAGGCUUUGAAGUGUGGACGCCAGUCUGCAUGGAGCCGACCUUGAAAUACCACCCUUUAAUGUUUGAUGUUCUAACGUGGACCCGUAAUCCGGGUUGCGGACAGUGUCUGGUGGGUAGUUUGACUGGGGCGGUCUCCUCCUAAAGAGUAACGGAGGAGCACGAAGGUUGGCUAAUCCUGGUCGGACAUCAGGAGGUUAGUGCAAUGGCAUAAGCCAGCUUGACUGCGAGCGUGACGGCGCGAGCAGGUGCGAAAGCAGGUCAUAGUGAUCCGGUGGUUCUGAAUGGAAGGGCCAUCGCUCAACGGAUAAAAGGUACUCCGGGGAUAACAGGCUGAUACCGCCCAAGAGUUCAUAUCGACGGCGGUGUUUGGCACCUCGAUGUCGGCUCAUCACAUCCUGGGGCUGAAGUAGGUCCCAAGGGUAUGGCUGUUCGCCAUUUAAAGUGGUACGCGAGCUGGGUUUAGAACGUCGUGAGACAGUUCGGUCCCUAUCUGCCGUGGGCGCUGGAGAACUGAGGGGGGCUGCUCCUAGUACGAGAGGACCGGAGUGGACGCAUCACUGGUGUUCGGGUUGUCAUGCCAAUGGCACUGCCCGGUAGCUAAAUGCGGAAGAGAUAAGUGCUGAAAGCAUCUAAGCACGAAACUUGCCCCGAGAUGAGUUCUCCCUGAGACUUAGAGUCUCCUGAAGGAACGUUGAAGACGACGACGUUGAUAGGCCGGGUGUGUAAGCGCAGCGAUGCGUUGAGCUAACCGGUACUAAUGAACCGUGAGGCUUAACCUUACAACGCCGAAG
rnacentral:rRNA from 1 species